ACUCCUACGGGAGGCAGCAGUGGGGAAUAUUGCACAAUGGGCGCAAGCCUGAUGCAGCCAUGCCGCGUGUAUGAAGAAGGCCUUCGGGUUGUAAAGUACUUUCAGCAGUGAGGAAGGCAGGUACGUUAAUAGCGUGCUUGUUUGACGUUAGCUGCAGAAGAAGCACCGGCUAACUCCGUGCCAGCAGCCGCGGUAAUACGGAGGGUGCGAGCGUUAAUCGGAAUUACUGGGCGUAAAGCGCAUGCAGGUGGUUUGUUAAGUCAGAUGUGAAAGCCCGGGGCUCAACCUCGGAAUUGCAUUUGAAACUGGCAGACUAGAGUACUGUAGAGGGGGGUAGAAUUUCAGGUGUAGCGGUGAAAUGCGUAGAGAUCUGAAGGAAUACCGGUGGCGAAGGCGGCCCCCUGGACAGAUACUGACACUCAGAUGCGAAAGCUGGGGAGCAAACAGGAUUAGAUACCCUGGUAGGAUAGCG
rnacentral:rRNA from 1 species